GUGAGUUGUUGCUUGGCAACAAGGUGAAAUAUCAGAGGUAUCAACACGAGAUAUGUGAUAUAAAGGAACGGGCGGUGGAGGUGCCGAUGAACAAGUAGAAGAACAGCCUAAGAGAGGCAGCAUAUGCAGGAAGAGAGAGGAAGAAGACACGUAUCUAUCCUGAGUGCUGAAUCACAAGGAUAGCAGCUUUCCCACAUCGGGCUACCGCUCCACCUACUGAGCCAUACCUCCACCUGGAUCAGGACCCUCUCAGCCAGGAUCUUCAGUGCCUCCCUGAGCUGCUGCACGGCCUCGCCCUGUAAACACGGUCAUGGCAAUUUCGUUGUUUUGGAAUUUUUUUUAAAUGACCUCAGGAGGAAAAUAUACUUAUGCCUCUCACCUCAUUCAAGCCCUCUCCCGGCUCUCCUUUUGGCCCUGGCGCUCCCUGUGAAAUGAGAUUAAAAUAAUCUUGUCAUCUCUG